AAAGUUUUAAGUUAAUUAAACUAAUGACCUUCAAAGUCAUAAAUAAAAAAAAUUUUUUAAACUUUA
rnacentral:tRNA from 1 species